UACGUAGGGGGCAAGCGUUAUCCGGAUUUACUGGGUUUAAAGGGUGCGUAGGCGGCCAUGUAAGUCAGCGGUAAAAGCCCGGGGCUCAACCCCGGCGAGCCGUUGAAACUGUCGUGCUCGAGUGAGCGAGAAGUAUGCGGAAUGCGAGGUGUAGCGGUGAAAUGCAUAGAUAUCACGCAGAACCCCGAUUGCGAAGGCAGCGCACCGGCGCCCAACUGACGCUGAAGCACGAAAGCGUGGGGAUCGAA
rnacentral:rRNA from 1 species